UAAUUAUUGGAGACAAGCAAGCCCCACCAUGUGCAAGUGGGAUUACCUAAUCUCCCACUUAGCACAUGGUGGAGGACUCCCCCUCACUCCCAUUAAUUGUAUAUUAAUGUGCCCCCUUGUGAAGUUGUUUGUAAGUGUAUCGAGAGAACACAGAGAAGAAGAACCGACGAGUUGCAGAGAGUGAAAACACAGAGAGAAGAGAGAACAGAGAAGUGUAGAGAGAGCUUGAGUGUAGAGUUGAGUUGAGAAGAUUCUCCUCCUCCUUUGUUUGUAUUGUUUGUAAGCUUCAUUAAUACAAACCAGUAGCUCCGUGGAGUAGGCAAGUUGCCGAACCACGUAAA